CCUACGGGGGGCAGCAGUGGGGAAUAUUGGACAAUGGGGGGAACCCUGAUCCAGCCAUGCCGCGUGUGUGAAGAAGGCCCUCGGGUUGUAAAGCACUUUCAGUGAGGAAGAACGCCUGGUAGUUAAUACCCAUCAGGAAAGACAUCACUCACAGAAGAAGCACCGGCUAACUCCGUGCCAGCAGCCGCGGUAAUACGGAGGGUGCGAGCGUUAAUCGGAAUUACUGGGCGUAAAGCGCGCGUAGGUGGCUUGAUAAGCCGGUUGUGAAAGCCCCGGGCUCAACCUGGGAACGGCAUCCGGAACUGUCAAGCUAGAGUGCAGGAGAGGAAGGUAGAAUUCCCGGUGUAGCGGUGAAAUGCGUAGAGAUCGGGAGGAAUACCAGUGGCGAAGGCGGCCUUCUGGACUGACACUGACACUGAGGUGCGAAAGCGUGGGUAGCAAACAGGAUUAGAUACCCCAGUAGUC
rnacentral:rRNA from 1 species